UAGGGAAUCUUCCGCAAUGGGCGAAAGCCUGACGGAGCAAUGCCGCGUGAGUGAUGAAGGUUUUCGGAUCGUAAAGCUCUGUUGCCAGGGAAGAACGCUUGGGAGAGUAACUGCUCUCAAGGUGACGGUACCUGAGAAGAAAGCCCCGGCUAACUACGUGCCAGCAGCCGCGGUAAUACGUAGGGGGCAAGCGUUGUCCGGAAUUAUUGGGCGUAAAGCGCGCGCAGGCGGUCAUUUAAGUCUGGUGUUUAAUCCCGGGGCUCAACCCCGGAUCGCACUGGAA
rnacentral:rRNA from 1 species